UGGGGAAUAUUGCACAAUGGGCGCAAGCCUGAUGCAGCCAUGCCGCGUGUAUGAAGAAGGCCUUCGGGUUGUAAAGUACUUUCAGCGGGGAGGAAGGCGAUGCGGUUAAUAACCGCGUCGAUUGACGUUACCCGCAGAAGAAGCACCGGCUAACUCCGUGCCAGCAGCCGCGGUAAUACGGAGGGUGCAAGCGUUAAUCGGAAUUACUGGGCGUAAAGCGCACGCAGGCGGUCUGUCAAGUCGGAUGUGAAAUCCCCGGGCUCAACCUGGGAACUGCAUCCGAAACUGGCAGGCUUGAGUCUCGUAGAGGGGGGUAGAAUUCCAGGUGUAGCGGUGAAAUGCGUAGAGAUCUGGAGGAAUACCGGUGGCGAAGGCGGUCCCCUGGACGAAGACUGACGCUCAGGUGCGAAAGCGUGGGGAGCAAACA
rnacentral:rRNA from 1 species